rnacentral:rRNA from 1 species
UCAGGCCUAACACAUGCAAGUCGAACGGUAACGCGGGGCAACCUGGCGACGAGUGGCGAACGGGUGAGUAAUGCAUCGGAACGUGCCCAGUAGUGGGGGAUAGCCCGGCGAAAGCCGGAUUAAUACCGCAUACGACCUAUGGGUGAAAGGGGGGGAUCGCAAGACCUCUCGCUAUUGGAGCGGCCGAUGUCAGAUUAGGUAGUUGGUGGGGUAAAGGCCUACCAAGCCGACGAUCUGUAGCUGGUCUGAGAGGACGACCAGCCACACUGGGACUGAGACACGGCCCAGACUCCUACGGGAGGCAGCAGUGGGGAAUUUUGGACAAUGGGCGCAAGCCUGAUCCAAACAGUGCCGCGUGCGGGAAGAAGGCCUUCGGGUGUAAACUAAUGUGUCAGGGAAGAAAAGCUCUGGGUUAAUACCCUGGGGUC